rnacentral:rRNA from 1 species
UACGGAGGAUGCAAGCGUUAUCCGGAAUGAUUGGGCGUAAAGCGUCCGCAGGUGGCGAUGUAAGUCUGCUGUUAAAGAGUCUAGCUCAACUAGAUAAGAGCAGUGGAAACUACAUAGCUAGAGUACGUUCGGGGCAGAGGGAAUUCCUGGUGUAGCGGUGAAAUGCGUAGAGAUCGGCAGGAACACCCAGGGAGAAAUCAGCCGCCUGGGCAAGUGCUGACGCUGAGGUGCGAAAGCGUGGGGAGCGAACCGG